rnacentral:rRNA from 1 species
GAUGAACGCUGGCGGCGUGCCUAAUACAUGCAAGUCGAGCGAACAGACGAGGAGCUUGCUCCUCUGACGUUAGCGGCGGACGGGUGAGUAACACGUGGAUAACCUACCUAUAAGACUGGGAUAACUUCGGGAAACCGGAGCUAAUACCGGAUAAUAUAUUGAACCGCAUGGUUCAAUAGUGAGAGACGGUUUUGCUGUCACUUAUAGAUGGAUCCGCGCCGCAUUAGCUAGUUGGUAAGGUAACGGCUUACCAAGGCAACGAUGCGUAGCCGACCUGAGAGGGUGAUCGGCCACACUGGAACUGAGACACGGUCCAGACUCCUACGGGAGGCAGCAGUAGGGAAUCUUCCGCAAUGGGCGAAAGCCUGACGGAGCAACGCCGCGUGAGUGAUGAAGGUCUUCGGAUCGUAAAACUCUGUUAUUAGGGAAGAACAAAUGUGUAAGUAAGUAUGCACGUCUUGACGGUACCUAAUCAGAAAGCCACGGCUAACUACGUG